rnacentral:rRNA from 1 species
CUUAGUGGCGGACGGGUGAGUAACGCGUGGGGAACCUGCCCUGUACAGGGGGAUAACACUUAGAAAUAGGUGCUAAUACCGCAUAAGCGCACAGUAUCGCAUGAUACAGUGUGAAAAACUCCGGUGGUACAGGAUGGACCCGCGUCUGAUUAGCUGGUUGGCGGGGUAACGGCCCACCAAGGCGACGAUCAGUAGCCGGCCUGAGAGGGUGAACGGCCACAUUGGGACUGAGACACGGCCCAAACUCCUACGGAAGGCAGCAG